CAGUCGCCGCGGUAAUACGUAGGGUGCGAGCGUUAAUCGGAAUUACUGGGCGUAAAGCGUGCGCAGGCGGUUCGUUAAGACAGAUGUGAAAUCCCCGGGCUUAACCUGGGAACUGCAUUUGUGACUGGCGAGCUAGAGUAUGGCAGAGGGGGGUAGAAUUCCACGUGUAGCAGUGAAAUGCGUAGAGAUGUGGAGGAAUACCGAUGGCGAAGGCAGCCCCCUGGGCCAAUACUGACGCUCAUGCACGGAAGCGUGGGGAGCAAACAGGAUUAGAUACCCCGGUAGUCCCUGUCUCUUAUUU
rnacentral:rRNA from 1 species